rnacentral:rRNA from 1 species
GACAGAGGAGCCAAGCGUUGUCCGGACUGACUGGGCGUAAAGCGCACGCAGGCGGCGCUGCGCGUGGGGUGUGAAAGCUCUUGGCUUAACUGAGAGAGGCCAUCCCAUACGGCAGUGCUCGAGCGGUGCAGAGGUCCGCGGAAUUUCCGGUGUAGCGGUGAAAUGCGUAGAUAUCGGAAGGAACACCAGUGGCGAAAAGCGGCUUCCUGGUCCCAGCACCGACGUCAGGCACGAAAGCGUGGGGAGCAAACAGG